GAUCCCAGUGUCCCCUCUUCCCCAUGGCUCCGCCGGCCGGCCGAUCUCCGCCACUCCUCCUCCUUCUCCUCAUCCUCCUCGCCUCCUCCGCCGCGGCCUGGAAGCGCGACGAGUUCCGAAACUGCAACCAAACCCCCUUCUGCAAGCGCGUCCGCACCCGCGACCCCCAUACCCUGCCCUCUCUCUCCGCCUCCUCCGUCUCGGUCUCCGACGGCCACGUCACCGC
rnacentral:misc_RNA from 1 species